UAUAACUUUAUGAUUAUUCAGACAAUAAUUUAUAAUAAAAAAUAAAUUUUAGCGCCGUUUUUACUCUUGUGAGAAUCCAUUUUGGAGCUUCUCUUUGAGAAUGGUUUUCUGCAUUUCGAUCAUUGGGUUCUAUGAAGUUAUUGCAGGUGAAUAUCCAUCCUUCUAUUAUACGUCCAUUUGAAUUUAACUCUUGGUGUAAGUAUUGUGAUGUUUUGAAAUGCAUCAAUCAUGGUUAGAAAAUUGUGAGGCCGCAACAACCUUAAGAACAAUGGUUUCAAGAUGUAAAGCAACUAUCUGAGUUGUAAGACUUAUGCAAGAUCGGUUAUACUACUAUUAACCACAAUAUGUUGUUAACGUUCGUUGAUAGAUGACACUUUGAGACAUCAUCUUUUUAUCUUCCACAUGGUGAAAUGUCCAUCACACUAGACGAUGUGUCAUGCCUGCUGCAUCUUUCGAUCAAGGGAAUAUUAUUAGACAACUUUAGGAUUAUAAGAUAUGUGACAUUAGAGAUAAUGAUGACCUAUUUGUGAGUUGACCUAGAGGAUGCCCUGAAAGAUAUAGGAGACACCUGAGGGUAUCAUGCUAGAUUUGGAUUAUCGGAGAGUAUGUAUGCACAACAAUUGAUAGAGGCAGAGCAGUCAGAUGGUGAUGAUGAACAAGUUAUGUUGCAUAGUGUAACACCCUAAACCAUGAAACAGUUAAAUCAUAGAAUAAUUCAAGUAUUGAUCAUAA